rnacentral:rRNA from 1 species
CUAUCUACAGGCUUAACACAUGCAAGUCGAGGGGCAUCAGGAAGAAAGCUUGCUUUCUUUGCUGGCGACCGGCGCACGGGUGAGUAACACGUAUCCAACCUGCCCUUUACUCGGGGAUAGCCUUUCGAAAGAAAGAUUAAUACCCGAUAGCAUAAUGAUUCCGCAUGGUUUCAUUAUUAAAGGAUUCCGGUAAAGGAUGGGGAUGCGUUCCAUUAGGUUGUUGGCGAGGUAACGGCCCACCAAGCCUUCGAUGGAUAGGGGUUCUGAGAGGAAGGUCCCCCACAUUGGAACUGAGACACGGUCCAAACUCCUACGGGAGGCAGCAGUGAGGAAUAUUGGUCAAUGGGCGCUAGCCUGAACCAGCCAAGUAGCGUGAAGGAUGAAGGCUCUAUGGGUCGUAAACUUCUUUUAUAUAAGAAUAAAGUGCAGUAUGUAUACUGUUUUGUAUGUAUUAUAUGAAUAAGGAUCGGCUAACUCCGUGCCAGCAGCCGCGGUAAUACGGAGGAUCCGAGCGUUAUCCGGAUUUAUUGGGUUUAAAGGGAGCGUAGGUGGACUGGUAAGUCAGUUGUGAAAGUUUGCGGCUCAACCGUAAAAUUGCAGUUGAUACUGUCAGUCUUGAGUACAGUAGAGGUGGGCGGAAUUCGUGGUGUAGCGGUGAAAUGCUUAGAUAUCACGAAGAACUCCGAUUGCGAAGGCAGCUCACUGGACUGCAACUGACACUGAUGCUCGAAAGUGUGGGUAUCAAACAGGGUUAGAUACCCUGGUAGUCCACACAGUAAACGAUGAAUACUCGCUGUUUGCGAUAUACAGUAAGCGGCCAAGCGAAAGCAUUAAGUAUUCCACCUGGGGAGUACGCCGGCAACGGUGAAACUCAAAGGAAUUGACGGGGGCCCGCACAAGCGGAGGAACAUGUGGUUUAAUUCGAUGAUACGCGAGGAACCUUACCCGGGCUUAAAUUGCAGUGGAAUGAUGUGGAAACAUGUCAGUGAGCAAUCACCGCUGUGAAGGUGCUGCAUGGUUGUCGUCAGCUCGUGCCGUGAGGUGUCGGCUUAAGUGCCAUAACGAGCGCAACCCUUAUCUUUAGUUACUAACAGGUUAUGCUGAGGACUCUAGAGAGACUGCCGUCGUAAGAUGUGAGGAAGGUGGGGAUGACGUCAAAUCAGCACGGCCCUUACGUCCGGGGCUACACACGUGUUACAAUGGGGGGGUACAGAAGGCAGCUAGCGGGUGACCGUAUGCUAAUCCCAAAAUCCUCUCUCAGUUCGGAUCGAAGUCUGCAACCCGACUUCGUGAAGCUGGAUUCGCUAGUAAUCGCGCAUCAGCCACGGCGCGGUGAAUACGUUCCCGGGCCUUGUACACACCGCCCGUCAAGCCAUGGGAGCCGGGGGUACCUGAAGUACGUAACCGCAAGGAUCGUCCUAGGGUAAAACUGGUGACUGG